rnacentral:antisense_RNA from 1 species
AACUAAACUCUGGCAGACACUGUGGAAGCCCAUGUCUUAUCUUUAGAAAGUCCAUUGUAUGCUCCUCACACACGGCAGACGGCUUCUGUGGCGCGCAAAGCACUACAUGCUCACAAUGAAAUUCUAAAUGGCUUUCAGAACACAGUACUAUGGCUCUAGGGGACAGGUGUGGGUGGGGACUGAAAGGUGAAAUGAUUUAGAGGAAGCCAUGUUGUCACUUUUUCCAUGAGCCAUGUAGUACAGAGAAGGGGGCGCUCCAUAGGGACCAUUUUGUUCCUCGCAGUGCGGGAUGCAUUUUAAUAAAAUGAUUACACU